GACAGCUGAUUGCGGUUGGCUGAAUCGUCUCUCGAAAUUUCCUCCCCAAUUUUUCUUUAUCUAUUUUUCUUUCACGGCCCACAGAUUGUCCUUUUAAAUAUAUUCCCCAGUCUCUUUUUUCCGUUACUACCUUCAUAUAAAAGCCCCUAUAUUAAUUAAACAAGAUAAAAAAAAACCGAGUGCAUCGUUACGUAGCUUUUUUCAUCUCUGUUUGUAAAAGUGACUCAGCUGGAGGAGCCAACACACGGCAGCGCCCCAGCAGCGGGUAUAAAAGACGGUGGCAUGAACCCCCAGCAGCACAAGACUUUUCAGUUCUCUUAACGCCAUCAUGAAGCUUUCCCUGAUUUUCGCCGUGGUUGCGGCCUGUCUGGUGGCUGCUUAUGCCCUUCCCGGCCCUGAUGCUAUUGCCGGUCCUCAUCCCGAGGCCCUUCCUAGUCCUGUUCCCGACCCUCACAGGCACUGGGGCUGGGGCGGCUGGGGCCAUGGUGGUUGGGGACACCACCAUCACGGACACCAUCAUCACCACCACGGUCACCACCAUCACCAUGGUCACCACCACUGGGGUUGACAUGUACUAAUUGUGUUGUGUGAAACCAGACAGUGGUUUGUAAUAUUUGUAAUAUUUUAUAGUAACAUUAAUAAAAAUAUAAAAGUAA